rnacentral:RNase_P_RNA from 1 species
UGGGUGGACCAGGCGAUCGCCGGUAGGGGUCGUUUAGACCCAGGCUGGAGGAAAGUCCGGGCUCCGUAGAACAUGACGCCGGGUAACGCCCGGGAGCCGCAAGGCUACAGAAAGUGCCACAGAAAACAAACCGCCCGUAAGGGUAAGGGUGAAAAGGUGGGGUAAGAGCCCACCGCGGUUUUGGUAACAGGACCGGCAGGGAAAACCUCGUCAGGAGCAAAGCCAAGCAGCAGGUGGAUUGUUCGUCCUAUACCUGCGGGUAGGCCGCUAAAGCGUAUCGGUAACGCUACGCUCAGAUAGAUGAUCGCCCACGACAGAACCCGGCUUACGGUCCGCCCAUUUU